rnacentral:rRNA from 1 species
AUGGAUGUGUUUUUCCUCAUUUUGCUAUAUGCGUUCUUAUUCAAAAUUCUUAGAUCAGCCCCGUGGUUGAAAUUGCUGAAAACGCUUUAUUUUGCUUUAGUUGGAUCGUACAGGUUAAAUAAUGUUCUGGUAUUGCAAAUUGUUGUUUUAAAGGAGAAGCUUCUAGCUCUGGGUUCAUCCAAAAAAAUUAGCAGAGCACAACAGUUUCAAGAGCAGUAUUUGAGGGGUAGAAUUUUGUAUUUCCAUUUACUACGCCACCAUACUUUCUUAGGUGUUUUUCGGUGA